rnacentral:rRNA from 1 species
GAUGAACGCUGGCGGCGUGCCUAAUACAUGCAAGUCGAGCGAACAGACGAGGAGCUUGCUCCUCUGACGUUAGCGGCGGACGGGUGAGUAACACGUGGAUAACCUACCUAUAAGACUGGGAUAACUUCGGGAAACCGGAGCUAAUACCGGAUAAUAUAUUGAACCGCAUGGUUCAAUAGUGAAAGACGGUUUUGCUGUCACUUAUAGAUGGAUCCGCGCCGCAUUAGCUAUUUGGUAAGGUAACGGCUUACCAAGGCAACGAUGCUUAGCCGACCUGAGAGGGGGAUCGGCCACACUGGAACUGAGAAACGGUCCAGACCCCUACGGGAGGAAGCAGUAGGGAAUCUUCCGAAAUGGGCGAAAGCCUGACGGAGCAACGCCGCGUGAGUGAUGAAGGUCUUCGGAUCGUAAAACUCUGUUAUUAGGGAAGAACAAAUGUGUAAGUAACUAUGCACGUCUUGACGGUACCUAAUCAGAAAGCCACGGCUAACUACGUG